CCAUCGAGAGGAGAGAUGGAAGAUGGGAAAAACCCUAGAUCUGAUGUCUCGUUCAUCCCUCUCUCAACAAAUCUACUAAUAUCAUCAUCUCCUUCAUCAGUCUCAACUAAUCUUUCCAUUCUUUCAAGUCAUCAGCUUGUUUUAAAAGAGUCAUCAACAUCAGGGGGAAGGAAAUGAGGAAGAGGGACUAAGAUUAGAGUUUUGUGAAGUUUGCAAAAACAAAGAAGGUCCGGAGGAGACAUUACCCAACUCCUGAAGCAUAACAUGUAAAAUUAAAGGCUAACGCGCUUCGUACUUUUUAGUACAAACACUGAACACGGAAAAAUACAGGCAAGAUCUUCUUGUUC